AGGCGUGUGGCUCAACGGUAGAGCGCUGCUAUCACAUGGCAGAGAUGGGGGUUCAAUUCCUUCCGCGCCUA
rnacentral:tRNA from 1 species